rnacentral:rRNA from 1 species
UACGUAGGGUGCGAGCGUUGCCCGGAUUUAUUGGGCGUAAAGGGCGCGCAGGCGGCCACGCACGUCCGUUGUGAAAUCGCCCGGCUCAACUGGGCGGGGUCAGCGGAUACGGCGCGGCUGGAGCAAGCUAGGGGGCAAUGGAACUCCCGGUGUAGUGGUGGAAUGCGUAGAUAUCGGGAAGAACACCAGUGGCGAAGGCGGCGUCCUGGACCAACACUGACACUGAUGAGCGAAAGCCAGGGGAGCAAACGGG